rnacentral:rRNA from 1 species
AUACGGAGGACGCGAGCGUUAUCCGGAUUCAUUGGGUUUAAAGGGUGCGCAGGCGGCCGUGCAAGUCAGCGGUGAAAGCCCGGGGCUCAACCCCGGAAGUGCCGUUGAUACUGCGUGGCUGGAAUGCGGUCGAGGCGGGCGGAACGUGGCGGGGAGCGGGGGAAUGGGUAGAUAUGACACAGAAAGCCGAUAGCGGAGGCAGCUCGCCAGGCCUGCAUUGACGCUCGGGCACGAAAGCGUGGGGAUCGAACAGGAUUAGAUACCCUGGUAGUCCACGCCGUAAACGAUGGGCGCUCGUCGUCGGCGACAGACAGUCGGCGGCCAAGCGAAAGCGAUAAGCGCCCCACCUGGGGAGUACGGUCGCAAGGCUGAAACUCAAAUGAAUUGACGGGG